ACUCUCUUAAGGUAGCCAA
rnacentral:snRNA from 1 species